rnacentral:rRNA from 1 species
UACGUAGGGAGCGAGCGUUGUCCGGAAUUACUGGGUGUAAAGGGAGUGCAGGCGGGACUGCAAGUCAGAUGUGAAAUUUAGGGGCUCAACCCCUCAAACUGCAUUUGAAACUGUGGUUCUUGAGUGAAGUAGAGGUAAGCGGAAUUCCAAGUGUAGCGGUGAAAUGCGUAGAUAUUUGGAGGAACAUCAGUGGCGAAGGCGGCUUACUGGGCUUUAACUGACGCUGAGGCUCGAAAGCGUGGGGAGCAAA